UGCCAGACUCCUACGGGAGGCAGCAGUGAGGAAUAUUGGUCAAUGGACGAGAGUCUGAACCAGCCAAGUAGCGUGAAGGAUGACUGCCCUAUGGGUUGUAAACUUCUUUUAUAAGGGAAUAAAACGAGGCACGUGUGCCUUUUUGCAUGUACUUUAUGAAUAAGGAUCGGCUAACUCCGUGCCAGCAGCCGCGGUAAUACGGAGGAUCCGAGCGUUAUCCGGAUUUAUUGGGUUUAAAGGGAGCGUAGAUGGGUUGUUAAGUCAGUUGUGAAAGUUUGCGGCUCAACCGUAAAAUUGCAAUUGAUACUGGCAGUCUUGAGUACAGUUGAGGUAGGCGGAAUUCGUGGUGUAGCGGUGAAAUGCGUAGAUAUCAGGAGGAACACCGGUGGCGAAGGCGGCCUGCUGGACUGCGACUGACGUUGAGGCCCGAAAGCGUGGGGAGCAAACAGGAUUAGAUACCCCUGUA
rnacentral:rRNA from 1 species